CACGCACGUGCAAAGAUGAAUAACACAGAAUCCCUCUCCUUAGACAGAAGGUGAACCGAGCUCACUGCACCCUACUUUGCACCAGGCCCACUUGGGCCUCCUCACAAGCUGGAAAUACUUGCCGCCACGCAGCUCCACUCCAGCCUCACGGUCUUCUCUGUGCGGGGCCAAGAAGGCUCCAAGCCAGUAUGGACACGGGCAGGCUCUCCCCGUGAUCUUCUCGACACCCUUGGUCAUAAAUAUCUUCCGUCCGUCCCUGGCCUGCGUGUCAGUCCGUCCCAGCUGCCAUACCCACACACCAGAACCUGGGCGCCGUGUUGGGCUUCUUGCCGUUCCUCAAAAACAGCGGGGAUCUGCAGUUUCAGGGCCUCCGCCCGAAUGUUCUCGGAUCUCUGAUAUCCACGUGGCCGCUUCUCACACCUCCAUCAAGCAUUGCCUCAGCUGCCCCCUCUCCACGAGGCCUUUCCUGACCAGCCUAUUUAAAUUUGUAAUUGCCCUUCUGAAAUACUCCCUUUCCUGCUCUGUCUUUCUCCAUAACCCAGAUCCCCAGCAAACAUGCUCUGCCUUCUACUCAUUUGAUUAUCUCCCCUGAGAGAAUCUGAACUCCACAAAGGUGGGGACCCUUCUUGUUUACUGCUACCUUCCUCGUUCUCAGAACCCUGUCUGCACCAAAUAGAUGUUCGAUCACUAUUAAAAUGGUUGAAUGAAACUCUCAGAGGAUGAUAAGGAGGCAGAGAGAAGCUCGGGCUUAGCCCAAGGGUCAGGAUUAGAACGCCACCGGCACUCAUUCACUCUCUCCAUUCUGGGAGCACCUGACAAGGUACGAGUGCAAAUCCUGCUGGAAGGACCAGCGGAAGCAGAACCAGGUCUUGUGGCAGCAGGGCUGAUGCCUCUGAGAUCAAGGGACAUAAUUUGAAGGCAUACGCCGAAGCUUUCCAGUUUUAAGACUGGCUUUAACUAUUUUUCUUUUGGCUGCCGCUUUCUGAGAUGAUGCAUAUGCACCAUAUGUCUGCAUCACCAGGUUCCCAUACAAAUUAGGAAACAAAAUUCCCGAUGAUUAAAACAGAUUUCUGCUGUUUCCAUGGGAAAUCGACGGCUGUGAAACCUUAGGAAACGAGAGGGAGACGGUUCAGCUCCAGGUGUGGUCAGGAGCAGUUGUGCUCAGUCUGCUCCCCAGGCGCCCAUCCAUGGGCUGUUCUCAGUUUGGGACAGGUGAGAUGUUGUCCUAGGUCACCAGCCCUGCUGGUGGCCAAGCAACACUUAUCAGCGUGUCUCAUCUACUCCUGUGAGCCUCCACCAUCAGGGAACUGGAGUUAGCCCCCUGGCCAACCAAACCAGGAAGGGCCUCUUCCUAACGACAAAGGGACACAUCACCGUGCCGAGCCCCUGCCUCACCCCGCAGUGUGGUUUCUGCGCCUGCUGAGCUGGCUCGCGGGGCUUCUGGUGGACAGAACGAUGUGCCCUCCGAGAGUCUCGCUUGCAGACUCACAGCUGGCUACUCACAAGUGGGCAGAGUUAAUCUGGGCGAGUGGGGGGGAUUCUUAACACAGCAAGGAUGCCCUGGGCAGUUGCGCCAAGGACGUCUCCAGGAGGCUGCGAUGACUGCUUGCUCCUGUCUGCCCCAGAGCUAGCACCCAUCUGCCUAAAGAAGAUCCAGCGCUGAGACAGAGGCUGCAAAGAGAUCAGUGCCCGCCAGCAGUGCCCUCUGUCAUGUCCGCGAGAGCUGGCUCGGGCGCCGACUCCAGCCCAAGUGCGGGGUCGAGGAAGCCGCCCCCACCUCUCUCCCUGGACCGCCAGGCAAGCGGACGGUGACAAGAUAUCUUUUCUCUGCUUUCCGAACUCAGACUGUAACUCAGGCAUCCCAGGGUGAGGCCCAGAACUGGGCACUUGGUGGCGGAGUUGAGCGUAGAGUUUCCAUCUGGACCCAGAUAGCCCUGCACGCGAAUGCUCAUCCUCCAGCUUACAGGCUGGGAGACCGCGGGGCGCUCACAGUUUGUCUGCAAAGUGGAGGCGACAAUACCUCCACUUCAGGAUGCAGUGCGCUGACUUCGGUAAAAAGCACUCAGACUGAGCCUGGCAGGCAGUGCCUGCGGCAUCUCUUUGCUUUGCCUCUGUGGCUGUUCCGCUCCCCAAACUGGAAACAGAUAGCUUGGUGGGCAAUACCCAGGCAAUGCCCGCCCACUCCUGUGACCCCCAUCACCAGCGCUGGAAGCUUGAAUCUUCUCAGAAUCACCAUGUACAGAGACCCCCCCAAAUCCGUGCCCGUAACUUACUCAUUGGCUGUAACGCAUCAGCCAGACUUGGCUAUCUUGCCGGGGUGGAAUGUUUCUCAGAGACACUACGUGGAAAAGGACACUUAUGCUGCCUUUUGGCCAAAAUAAACCGUUGGUAGGACCUCGUGGAAUUAAGACCAUAGAUCACAACGCAGGCCGAGUGCCUUGCCCUAAGCUAGUCAAAAUACUUUGACUCCUCUUGUCUUUAAACAACUCCUAGGCAGGAUUCCUCACCACGAGGCCAUCCUAGCAGGGUCCAUGGAAGCCGGAUUUGGGAAAGCAGUGCUAUGGUUUCGUGGUCCUGGGGAGGCUUUCAGUCAGUCGAUCUUUCCAUGACGGCUGUGAUAAAGUCCUGCACUGAUGACUUGAUCUAUUUCUAUAGAUUCCGGUUGCCGUCUCUUAAUACCGUCGGCUCUGUUUCUACCCCAACUCGCUGCUGACACUGGCUACCCAGGGGUGGCACAGGCUCACAGGUUAAGGGCAAAGUCCUCCACGGGGCUGCCCUUACCUCAGAUGCCGGCCACGAGUCUUGGGAAGCCCCCAGGCUACCCACCCUUCUGCCCAACCGGCCACAAACCUGAGCAUUCCAUGACUUCCUCAGGUUUGAAAAUCCACUAGAAUGACUCACAGAGCUCAAGAAAGUGCUAGACUUUCGACGGCAACUUCAACAAAAAGGAUGCAGGAGCAGCCAAGUGAGAGGCACAGGACGAGGUCCAGGAGGGAACACAGAGCUUCCGCGUCCCCUCCCACGAAGUCUGGGCAUGUCACCACCAGGUCCAUCUCUGCAACCAUGAACCAGGAAGCUCCUCUGAGCCCCAGCGUCCAAGGGUUUUAUUGGGGUUUCAUGACAUAGACACAGUUAAAUCAUUGGCCUCAUGACUAAACCCAAUCUCCAGACAUCCCCAAUCCCAGGGGUCAGGCUGCCUCCACGUCCCAAAAAUCGAAUCACAUGGCUGGUCUUUCUGAUGCCCAGCCUUCAUCCCGAAACUAUCUAGAAGCCUGGGCAAGUCGCCUCUUUAAUUUAACAGAGACAUCUCAUCACCCAAGCAAUUCCGAGGGGUUUAGGAUUUCUGUGCCUGCAAUGGGGACAAAUACCAAACACAGUCUUUUAUCUUCUACAAACCAUCAGGGCUUUAAGCUUUUUCCUGCGGGCAGCGGAGAGUGACUUGAGCAGGUUGAAACUGUCAUGUAUUGGGCAGCUGCUAUGGACCAGCCACACACAGUACGCGUACCUUUUGGACAGUACAUUGGGCCAGUGCACGGAGGGUCUGGCUGAAGCUGAGACCCUGUCUGGGUCUGGGAAAGGGCAGUCGCUGCUGUGUAGCCACAAAGUGGUGAGAGCUAAACUAGGGGGGCAGAAGGGGAAAUGGAAAGGGGGGAAGAGAGGAGUUGAGGGAGAUUUUGAAGGAAGGUUUCAACUUAUGGAACGUUUUGUCUCCCUUACAAGAUACUACACCCUAGACUAAGUUAGGACUUCUUGGAGAGUCCAACGGCUUUCUAAAGCUAUCCAAGGAAUAGAGAGAAAGCGGCUCCUCUGGGAUGAACAGAAGUGUAUAUUCUGCACAUGAAAACUGCAACGAACAUUCAAGAUCUUAAUGUUUUACCUCUUGAACCAACUUGAGGACCCUGUGCUGAUCUUUCCUGCCAUAUUCCCAUUUGUUCUUCUGAGCAAAAUAUGUUGACAGCCCACGUUUUCAAGUGGGAGACUUGUUUCUCUUUGGAAAUGAUUAUUAUCAGUUUUUACCUUUCACAGGGGUCUUUUGAAGUGUGUUGACUCUUGCAUUCAAGGUCCUGCCUCCCCUUGUCAAUCACAAAUUUAAGAGGGGAGGCGGGGGAUGUUGGGGUGUACUCCUGUGUAAACCAUGAAUAAAGGAGAACUUGUCAUUUUU
rnacentral:lncRNA from 1 species